ACCAAACCACAUACUGUAACCUAGAUACAUUUGUAAGUUUAUGUUUUAUUUUUUAUAAAAACCUGUGUGAGCCAUAUCGCUGCAAAUCUGCCAAAGUUAUCUGAUGAUUACACAGUUGGCAUAGGAUCUAUUAGUAGAUAAUUUAUAUUUGAUUGGGGUUUGGCUUUGGGGCACACAGCCCUUGGUAACAAACUCUUGAGUGUACCUCAACCUGACAACCUUAAAGACAGAUGCUUUCGAGGAGCCCAGGGAGGAAGUAGAAGCAAAACCAAAGCCAAAACCUUUCGUGCCUUGCUUUGGUGCCUCCCAAAUUCCUGAUGGAGAGAAAGUUGAUUUUGAUGAUAUUAAUCGCAAACGUAUGGAAAAGGACCUGACGGAGCUGCAAACGCUCAUUGAAGCACACUUCGAGAACAGAAAGAAAGAAGAAGAGGAACUGAUCGGCCUCAGCCAAUGAAUUAAUUCUUACCAAGCUUGACCAGCAAGACAGAACUGGUCAAUCAGCUUCAUCAGAACUAAUCAACAUAAACCAACGUGGAAUUUAUUGCGAGUCAAGGCUGAUAAGUUGUGGCAAGUUUAUGGG